UGCCAGCCGCCGCGGUAAUACGGAGGGUGCAAGCGUUGCUCGGAAUCACUGGGCGUAAAGCGGACGCAGGCGGAACGUUAAGUUGGAUGUGAAAGCCCCGGGCUCAACCUGGGAACUGCAUUCAAAACUGGCGUUCUUGAGUUCAAGAGAGGGUGGUGGAAUUCCAAGUGUAGAGGUGAAAUUCGUAGAUAUUUGGAGGAACACCGGUGGCGAAGGCGGCUCACUGGCUCGAUACUGACGCUGAGGUACGAAAGUGUGGGGAGCAAACAGGAUUAGAUA
rnacentral:rRNA from 1 species